UUUUUUUUUUUUUUUUUCAUUUAGGGGACUCUUUUUUUUUUUUUUUUUUUUUUUUUUUUUUUUUCCCAGCCGUUGCGUCAGGGCUGUUGCCUGGAGACAGGCGAGCUAUUCCAGUUUGAGCUUUUCAGCGCCGAUUUCCUCUCUCUCUUUCAUUCAUACCACCAAGCCCUGAACCUACCUCCCACCAAGCAAUAACCCUGGAGAGACCUGAAAGGGAGGAGCUGCACAGCCCGGGUCCUAAACAUCCUCCGGCACCCAGGAGAGGGAGGAAGAUCGGCGAUGCUUUCGGCGUGGAGAACAGGGAUGGAGCGGUCCAGGGGAGGGCAGGUACCUCGAGGCUUGCAGGAGAUGCCCCGAGAGCUGCGGUGCUCCCGAAGGAAUCUGUGGCUCUUCCCAACACCAACCUGCUGGUGCCCCCAUGCAGAUCGUGUUUCUUUCCAUGGAUAUCAGCCCCACAAGGAGUUUGGGCUCCUCUGGCAUUCAGGAGAGCUUUGGGAUAACGUUUGCCCACUGCGUGUGCCGAGGGGAAUUUUGCGAGGAUGCAUCAGCACCUCUGGGAAGCCCCAGGGUGGUGCCUCGGGGCUCCCUGGCUGGUGCCAUCCAUCCCCGGGCAGAAACCAGCUUGGGAACCAGCCUGCUCCUGAAUUUUGUGUUGGGAAAGCUCCUGUUGCUUCCACAGCUGCCCCAGCGGGGCUGGAAACCAUUUUAGCUGCCUCCGAUGAGGUCCAGAAUCAAAGGCAGGGGACAGAGGGGAUUUCCUUCCUUUUUUCCUUCUUUCACCAGAAGUUGGAGGUUAACCCCUCCAAUCCUGGGGGCCGCUCUCCAAAGCAUCCCACACAUCACACAUCUGGGGGCUCAGAGCCACCGCCCGCGUUUGCAAAGCUGGUGCUGCGAAGGGUUAAGCCUUGGCCAGCGACCCCGAACCACCCAGGCCCCUCCCCCCAUUCCCACAUUCAGCUUUUGUGAGAGAAACCCCUCCACAGCCUUUUUAUUCCUUUUUUUUUUUUUUCACCCUUCCCUUUUCCUGCCGGAUCCAUCCCCUCACCCCCCCUCCCGAGGGCAACAGGGAGAUUUACAGCCCCUUCCUGAGCUCCAGCAUGGAAGGGCUGGGAUUUCCCACCUCCCUUCGAGUGCCAGGGGUACCCCAGACCCCACAGUAAUUUAGAGGCUGUGCCUGAACAGCAUUUGGAAGUCUGGAGUGCAGAGAAAGGGGGUGCCCUGGAUGCAGCAAUGCAGAUUCAGAAUGAACAGCAGCAUUUUCACAUUUCUGAUGAAAAUGCAAAUUUUUUAAUUUUUUUUUUUUUGCUUUUUUUUUUUUGCUUUGCCAGCAUCCAUUUUUGUCAGAUUUCAGAUCUGCAUAUGCAAACUCAGCCUGGUGAUCAGCUCUCACUGUGCUGCAAGGAGGCACCUGGAGGCUGAUGAUGAUGGAGAGGCACCACAGGAGAUGGAAGAGCUGUUGGCUGUUUUAAAACUGUCUGACAAAGACCUGCAGGAGCAUUUAACAGCAAAAGGAAUCCCAGAAUCCCAAGAGGGGUCAGGUUGGAAGGUCACAAUAGAUCAACUGUGCAGCCUCCCUGCUCCAACAGGGCCAUCCCAGGGCACAGGGUUGUGUCCAGAUAAUUCUGGAAUAUCCCCACUGAAAGAGACUCCACUCCCUCUCUGGACAAUCUGUUCAGUGCUUAGGAAAGUUCAUCCUCAUGUCCAGGUGGGACUUCCUGGGCAUCCAUUCCUGCCCAUUCCUGUUCUCCUGUUGCUGGGUCCCACAGAGCAGAGCCUGGUCCAUCAAUCACGUAGAGGUUCAACGUUUCCAGCAACAUCUCAUCCAAAUCAAAACAGAUUCUGUGCCCAUGAACCAAGCAGCACCAGGGAACAUACAGGCACAGGGUGAAACAGCCCCUGGCCCGGUUUUGGUGUGGGAUGAGCAAUCCCAGGACAUGGCUUGGGAAUGACCAAGACUGGGGCCCCUUCCUGGCAAACAAUUUGGAUUCAGCCACCCAGAUUUGAUAGCCAGGAGCGUUGAAUCACAGGGACUCAGGGCCAGAGCCCAGGUCUAGCAGGGUGAGUUUACAGCAGAGGUGUUGCUCCCAAGGCUGGAUGUCUGUCUGUCUGUCUGUCUGUCUGCCUGUCUCCUCGCAGGAACAGACCACACACUGUCACCCGCUCCUUCUUCUGUAAAUGUUUAUUUUUAAUUCGGUUGCGUAAUGGAUUUCAAAUGAGCUGCCGUAAGAUAGCAGUGAGAGGCUGCAGCCACAUCCCUCUGAAGCCAGUCCGUGGGUUUGAAUGUUUUUUUUGGCCUGGAUUUAUCUUGGAUAAGUUGUGUUCAUCAAAAAAAACACUGGUGGGGAGCUGCUGAAGAAGAGUGAUGCUCCCACUGGUGAUGCUCUAACACCAGCCACCUGCAAUGGACACCUGAAAUUAGGUGUGAUCAGUCAAAAUAAACCUGUGCAACACCAGCACUGUCCACAUCUAUGGCUCAGUAUUUUUUGCUUUUCCUCAGACACAAGAAAUCCUUUCUGUUGCCCAUAGAGCUCCAGGGACUGCCAGUUCCCACAGCAUCCCUGGGCACAGGACUUUUUCCAGAGGACUGCUGAGUCCUUGGGAACACACAGAUCCAAGCCAGAGUUUUUGCUGGGAUGAGGUUUUGCAAAGCCCAAGCUGGAAAUUGCUUGCUGUAGUUGUAGCUUGUAGAAUCAUGGAAGGGUUUGGGUUAGAAGGGACCUUAAAGAUCCUCUCAUUCCACCCCUUACCAUGGGCAGGGACACCUUCCACUGUCCCAGGCUGCUCCAAGCCCUGUCCAACCUGGCCUUGAACACUUCCAGGGAUGGGGCAGCCAGACUUCCUUGGGAUCCCCUGUGCUGAUCUGAGCACCACAAACUCUCUAAGGUGCUUUAGAACCCCCUAAAUCUUACUUGAACCUUCUGAGCUGCCUCUUACCACCCAAAAAUGGGCAGAAAUGGCCAUUCCUUUACCACAACAGCAGCAGCUCAACUCAGUUUGGAUUUUAACCUUCUGCUUCUUGCCCUUUCUGCUGGAUUUUUGUGGUUUCUCCCUGCAGGUAUCCUGCUAACAAAGCGUGGAGGAGCUGGAUCUCCUGGUA
rnacentral:lncRNA from 1 species